AAACGACUCUCGGCAACGGAUAUCUCGGCUCUCGCAUCGAUGAAGAACGUAGCGAAAUGCGAUACUUGGUGUGAAUUGCAGAAUCCCGUGAACCAUCGAGUCUUUGAACGCAAGUUGCGCCCAAAGCCAUUCGGCCGAGGGCACGUCUGCCUGGGUGUCACGC
rnacentral:rRNA from 1 species